CCUACGGGUGGCAGCAGUGAGGAAUAUUGGUCAAUGGGCGCGAGCCUGACCCAGCCACGUAGCGUGAAGGAUGACUGCCCUCCGGGUUGUAACCUUCUUUUAUAAAGGAAUAAAGUGAGGCACGUGUGCCUUUUUGUAUGUACUUUAUGACUUAGGAUCGGCUAACUCCGUGCCAGCAGCCGCGGUAAUACGGAGGAUCCGAGCGUUAUCCGGAUUUAUUGGGUGUAAAGGGAGCGUAGAUGGGUUGUUAAGUCAGUUGUGAAAGUUUGCGGCUCAACCGUAAAAUUGCAAUUGAUACUGGCAGUCUUGAGUACAGUUGAGGUAGGCGGAAUUCGUGGUGUAGCGGUGAAAUGCUUAGAUAUCACGAAGAACUCCGAUUGCGAAGGCAGCUUACUAAACUGCCACUGACAUUGAUGCGCGAAAGUGUGGGGAGCAAACAGGAUUAGAUACCCGUGUAGUC
rnacentral:rRNA from 1 species